rnacentral:rRNA from 1 species
UACGGGGGGGGCAAGCGUUGUUCGGAAUUACUGGGCGUAAAGGGUUUGUAGGUGGCUUGCUAAGUCAGACGUGAAAUCCCUCAGCUUAACUGGGGAACUGCGUCUGAGACUGGCGAGCUUGAGUGCAGGAGAGGAUGGCGGAAUUCCCCAAGUAGAGGUGAAAUUCGUAGAUAUGGGGAGGAACACCGGUGGCGAAGGCGGCCAUCUGGACGGAUACUGACGCUGAGACGCGAAAGCGUGGGUAGCAAACAGG